rnacentral:rRNA from 1 species
GACGAACGCUGGCGGCGUGCUUAACACAUGCAAGUCGAGCGGUAAGGCCCUUUCGGGGGUACGACGAGCGGCGAACGGGUGAGUAACACGUGGGUGACCUGCCCUCAGCUCUGGGAUAAGCCUGGGAAACCGGGUCUAAUACCGGAUAUGACUCCAUGACGCAUGUUGUGGGGUGGAAAGCCUUGUGCGGCUGAGGAUGGGCCCGCGGCCUAUCAGCUUGUUGGUGGGGUGAUGGCCUACCAAGGCGACGACGGGUAGCCGGCCUGAGAGGGCGACCGGCCACACUGGGACUGAGACACGGCCCAGACUCCUACGGGAGGCAGCGAGUGGGGAAUCUUGCGCAAUGGGCGAAAGCCUGACGCAGCGACGCCGCGUGAGGGAUGACGGCCU